UACGUAGGAGGCAAGCGUUGUCCGGAAUUACUGGGUGUAAAGCGCGUGUAGGCGGCAGGCCAAGUCUGUGGUGAAAUCGCUCGGCUCAACUGGGCGGGGUCCAUGGAAACUGGUCAGCUGGAGGACGGUAGAGGUGAGUGGAAUUCCCGGUGUAGUGGUGAAAUGCGUAGAGAUCGGGAGGAACACCAGUGGCGAAGGCGGGUCUCUGGGCCGUAACUGACGCUGAGGAGCGAAAGCGUGGGGAGCGAACAGG
rnacentral:rRNA from 1 species